GAGUUUGAUCUUGGCUCAGGAUGAACGCUAGCGGCAGGCUUAACACAUGCAAGUCGAGGGGCAGCAGGUCUUCGGACGCUGGCGACCGGCAAACGGGUGCGGAACACGUACGCAAUUUACCCUUGUCUGGGGGAUAGCCCGGAGAAAUCCGGAUUAACACCCCAUAAGAUAUUAGAGUGGCAUCACUCAGAUAUUAAAACUCCGGUGGACAAGGAUGAGCGUGCGUCCCAUUAGGUAGUUGGUGAGGUAACGGCUCACCAAGCCGACGAUCUUUAGCUGAUGUGAGAGCAUGAUCAGCCACACGGGCACUGAGACACGGGCCCGACUCCUACGGGAGGCAGCAGUGAGGAAUAUUGGUCAAUGGGCGGAAGCCUGAACCAGCCAUGCCGCGUGAAGGACGAAGGCGUUCUGCGUUGUAAACUUCUUUUAUCUGGGAAGAAACCUACGAUUUCUAUUGUAGCCGACGGUACCAGAUGAAUAAGCACCGGCUAACUCCGUGCCAGCCGCCGCA
rnacentral:rRNA from 1 species